AGGUGGGGCGCAGGCCCAGACGGCAGCCGACUCUCCCGAGACACAGGGCCGAGAAGAGCCGUCGGCAAACGCACCAGACGGGCGGAAAAAAAGAGCAGGAUGAAGGGAGGAAGAUAUAGCCAGCCAGAGAAGGGAGAAGAGGAGAAACAUCUGAAAAAUAUCAGUGUUGCAGAGCCUCCCGGAAACUGACCUCGCCACCGAAAGGGUGAAUGGGGUCAACAUGGAAACAGCAUGAGAGAGGCCACAGAAGGGAUUCACCAGGAAGAAGAGGAAAGGCAGGGCUGAGGUGGCCAGGACAGCACGACAUCACAUCUGACCAAGGCAUCCUCAGCCUUCCUUCAGAAAAGCAGCAGAAGGAAAAAGGGAUCAAAAAUCACAGUGUGGAACUCAGGCUUGAAAGAAACCUUAGAUGUUGUCUAUUCUUUUUUUUUUUUGAGAUGGAGUUUUGCUUUGGUUGCCUAGUCUAGAGUGCAGUGGUGCAAUCUCAGCUCACUGCAACCUCUGCCUCCCAGGUUCAAGCAAUUCUCCUGCCUCAAUCUCCCGAGUAGCUGAGAUUACAGGCAUGUGCCACCCUGCCUGGCUAAUUUUGUAUUUUUAGUAGAGACAAGGUUUCACCAUGUUGGCCAGGCUGGUCUUGAACUCCUGACCUCAGGUGAUCCACCCACCUCAGCCUCCCAAAGUGCUGGGAUUACAAGCGUGAGACUCCGUGCCUGGCCAGAGAUUGUUUAAUCCUCUACCUGGCUGGUGAAGCAAUCUCCUAUCACAUCACCGGCAACAGACAUUCAUCCAGAAUUGCCUUGACAAACUUUAUUAGCAGAGACAGCCUCCUUGAAAAAACAACUCCAUUUCCAUCCUAACCGUUAGAAAGUUCCUGUGUAUACUAAACUAAAAUUCAAGUCUAAGGGCAGUAAUUGUCAAAUUAUUUCCACUCUAACCACUGCCUUUACUCCUUAUGGCAAGGAAAUAAUUUUGUGAUGAGAUAAACAUAGGUUUUUAACUAAAUUUUAUUUUCAACAACCUAGUGGAGACCCCUCACAUUGCCUGGCUGAUGUAGCUGAAUUCAGUGUGAGACAGUUAUGCAACUUUCCAGUGCUUGCCACACAUCUGCUAUUGAUUAUCAUGAGCAUUCAGAAGCAAGCAGCUCUGCUCAAGACACCCAGUGAUAAUCUUUCUCCUCAGUGUGCUCACUCCAAGGGGGCAGAAAACAAUGCCAAGACAGGUUGAGUAAUGGGCCCUACUUGACUGUAUUUGAGCAGUUAAGAGCUUUAUCAAGUUUCUGAACAAAAUUUGAAAUGUGAAAUGCACAAAGAAGACAAAUGUAGUACUCCAUUUGUGGAAUCUGGACCACAGACUCCUGGUCUGAGAUCUAUAUGAAAGUCUAACCCACUUCUAGUUUCCAUAAUUUGAUUUUGGCAUUGAGUUUCUGACGUGGGUAGAAUCUAUUAACAAUUGUGCCAACUGAUGACUACUUAGGAGACAGAAAAGGCUGACAUAGGCUUGCAGUUGAGAGUAGCCAAGGCUGACACUCAACAGAAAAACUCAGCAGGUGGUGAAAAUGUGAACUGAAGCAGAACUUAUCCAAACAGGGCUUCAGGGAAAAUGGGAGGUUAUUUUUGCAGGUAGCAGUGAAAGGCAUGCAUCAGAAGUUUUUCCUCUUGAAUAGGUCAGGUUACAAAAUUUAAGUUACUCAGCCUCUCCUUAAAGAAGAGCUGCAGAAAUAUGUACUAGUUAUGAUUCACAAAGUUGUAGGCAUCAUGAAAAUGAAUGCAUUUUCUGAGAAACUGCUCACCUGAACAAUGUGCUAGCCUACCUAAAAAAGAUGAUAUUAAGUCCAUAAAUUUCCUAGUACAAACAGGAGAUCUAAAAUUCACCAACCUUUUCAAUCUGAAGUCUGUUUCAACAGACAUUUUACUACUGAACUCAGCAAAGCCCCAUCAUAUGCCGUUUAAUUUUCUCAAUUUCAAUGAUAUAUAAUCAGCCCAUAUCAGAUAGAAAGAAAUGAUCUAAAUGGAUACAUUGGCUACCAUUCCCCCUAAUGAUUUUAUGCUGCAGAGUAGGCAUGAGAAGGAGCUGGGAAUUUGCUGUUCCCUCUCUCCCUCUAGUCUCUGCAUGGACUUUUACACUGUGAGCAUCUCACACACUGAUAAUGAAUGUUGUGUUUAAGGCAAUGUAUUGUUUCAUAGCAAAAUGCCUCAAAGACAAGCUAACUCUAGACCAAAUUUUGCUGGUCUUAAAGAAAUAGCAACCUGUUUCAAUGCUAAGGAAACAGUGGCAGUAAGUCUUAUACUUAACAGGAGAUGGUAUAUCAGCCUCCAACCUGGUAACUUCCUAAGAGGAUUUUUAAAAUAAUACUGACCCCAUACAAUUUUCACUUUACACAUUACUCGUAGUCUUAACCAAAUUGGCAUCUUACAAUCUCAUAUGUUACAGUGAUGCAGUCAAGAGUUGCUGAAAAAGACAUGAUUUUAGUUCUGAGGUCCCCAAAUUAUGUGCCAGUGUACCUCAGGGCACUACAGCAAAUUCACAGAGGUGUGCAGGAUAUUUUGUCUUUGAGGGAAACAAAGCAAUACACAACAUUUCUCAGAUGCUUGCAUGAAUGACUAUUUCAAGCGAAUUCACAGUUUAACAUAUUGUGUUAUUUUCCUUUCGAUGAUGUCAUUUCUUUGCAAAGCUAGGUUGUUGGUGGUUCCUGUGAUAAAAGGCAAGUAUUAGUUGAAAUGUGAUGUGGAACAGGAAAUUAGGGUAUUGGGAUUCAACCCAAUUUCUAAGUUUGAGGAACUGUAAUAAGUUUACUGCCUCACAGCUCGAAAUUCACCCUUCAUUACUCACUAUGUGAAGACACAGAAGGGACCUUUACAUAUUUUUUCUUUUGUUAGCUGGUACCAUUCUAAGCUUCAUCAGUGGAGAGUACUGUAGAGACAUUACAGAAAGAAGCAGUUUUCCUUCCUGGUUCCGGUACACUCUUUCUGCAGGCUGCUGCAAACACGCAUGGCUCCUAGAGUAUCCACACCUUCUUCAGCAACUGGCUCCUGCUGAACAUGAUGGUCAGCACCUCCCAGCCUCCAGCAGCUUCCACUGGCAUCCCUCUCGGUUGAUUUUGCAGCAGAGUGCAUCCAGUGAAAGACCUCCACAUGAAUAGCUUUCCUUAGCAUCUUAGAGGGUAGAUUUCUAGCAAGUUCUGCCGGCAUAGCACCCCAGUGACUUCUCUGCCAGCCCAGGAGCCACAGCAGGCCAUGACCUCUCCAGCAAGGUCUGGAGCAGAGAGAAGCAUGUGUUUGGGUGCUCUAUCAGACCCACGGCCCACGGGUAGGGGCUGCUCCUUAUAUCUGCUAUUCCUCUGUUAUUUAAAGUUCUCUUUACUUCCUAUUAGCUAGUCCCCAUUACAGUGAACUAUUUCUCUUUUUCUUAACAGUUUUCUUUUGUAUUUUUUAAAAAUUGUGGCAAAAUACAUAUAGUAUAAAAUUUACCAUCUUAAUAAUUUUAAAUAUACAGUUCAGGAGAAUUAAAUACAUUCACAUUGUUGUACAAUCAUCACCACUAUCCAUCUCUAGAACUUUUUUUAUCUUGCAAAACUGAAACUCUGUACCCACUGAAGACUAAUUCGCCAUUCUCUGCUCCUGUCAGCCCCUGGCAACCACCAUUCUACUUUUUGUCUCUAUAAAUUUGACUACUCCAGGUAACUUACAUUCAGUGGAAUUAAAGAGUAUUUGUCUUUUUGUGAUGGCUUAUCUCACUUAACAUCCUCAA